GGCGAACGCUGGCGGCGUGCCUAAUACAUGCAAGUCGAGCGCAGGAAACUGACGGAACUCUUCGGAGGGAAGGCAGUGGAAUGAGCGGCGGACGGGUGAGUAACACGUAAGGGACCUGCCUCAAGGAUUGGGAUAACUCCGAGAAAUCGGAGCUAAUACCGGAUAGUUCAUCGGACCGCAUGGUCCGUUGAUGAAAGGCGCUCCGGCGUCACCUUGAGAUGGCCUUGCGGUGCAUUAGCUAGUUGGUGGGGUAACGGCCCACCAAGGCGACGAUGCAUAGCCGACCUGAGAGGGUGAUCGGCCACACUGGGACUGAGACACGGCCCAGACUCCUACGGGAGGCAGCAGUAGGGAAUCUUCCACAAUGGACGAAAGUCUGAUGGAGCAACGCCGCGUGAGUGAUGAAGGUUUUCGGAUCGUAAAACUCUGUUGUAAGGGAAGAACACGUACGAGAGGGAAUGCUCGUACCUUGACGGUACCUUACGAGAAAGCCACGGCUAACUACGUGCCAGCAGCCGCCGUAA
rnacentral:rRNA from 1 species